rnacentral:rRNA from 1 species
CCUACGGGAGGCAGCAGUGGGGAAUAUUGGACAAUGGGGGCAACCCUGAUCCAGCCAUGCCGCGUGUGUGAAGAAGGCCCUCGGGUUGUAAAGCACUUUCAGUGAGGAAGAACGCCUGGUGGUUAAUACCCAUCAGGAAAGACAUCACUCACAGAAGAAGCACCGGCUAACUCCGUGCCAGCAGCCGCGGUAAUACGGAGGGUGCGAGCGUUAAUCGGAAUUACUGGGCGUAAAGCGCGCGUAGGUGGCUUGAUAAGCCGGUUGUGAAAGCCCCGGGCUCAACCUGGGAACGGCAUCCGGAACUGUCAAGCUAGAGUGCAGGAGAGGAAGGUAGAAUUCCCGGUGUAGCGGUGAAAUGCGUAGAGAUCGGGAGGAAUGCCAGUGGCGAAGGCGGCCUUCUGGACUGACACUGACACUGAGGUGCGAAAGCGUGGGUAGCAAACAGGAUUAGAUACCCUUGUAGUC